GGGUAUGUGGAGAAAUUGGUAAACUCGCCAGCUUGAGGGGCUGGUGCCGCAAGGCUUGGAGGUUCAAGUCCUCUCAUACCCA
rnacentral:tRNA from 1 species